rnacentral:misc_RNA from 1 species
GAUGAAGAACGUAGCGAAAUGCGAUAAGUAAUGCGAUUGCAGAAUUCCAGUGAGUCAUCGAAUCUUUGAACGCACAUUGCGCCCUUUGGUAUUCCGAAGGGCAUGCCUGUUCGAGCGUCAUUAUCACCCCUCAAGCCCUCGGCUUGGUGUUGGACGGUUUGGUGGAGGCCCCCUCGGGGGCUCCUGCCCCUCCCAACGACAAUGACGGCGGCCUCGUUGGACCCCCGGUACACUGAGUUCUUCACGGGACACGUAUCGGACACAUGGGUUUACGGGACACGGUCUGCCUCCCCUCAGGGAGAAUCUUUCUAAGGUUGACCUCGGAUCAGGUAGGGAUACCCGCUGAACUUAAGCAUACAAUAAGCGGAGGA